GACGAACGCUGGCGGCGUGCUUAACACAUGCAAGUCGAACGGAAAGGCUCCAGCUUGCUGGAGUACUCGAGUGGCGAACGGGUGAGUAACACGUGGGUAAUCUGCCCUGCACUCUGGGAUAAGCCUGGGAAACUGGGUCUAAUACUGGAUAUGACCUUUCUCCUUAUGGGGUUUGGUGGAAAGUUUUUCGGUGUAGGAUGAGCCCGCGGCCUAUCAGCUUGUUGGUGGGGUGAUGGCCUACCAAGGCGACGACGGGUAGCCGGCCUGAGAGGGUGAGCGGCCACACUGGGACUGAGAUACGGCCCAGCCUCCUACGGGAGGCAGCAGUGCGGAAUAUUGUACAAUGGGCGGAAGCCUGAUGCAGCGACGCCGCGUGGGGGAUGACGGCCUUCGGGUUGUAAUCCUCUUUCAGCUGGGACGAAGCGUAGGUGACGGUACCUGCAGAAGAAGCACCGGCUAACUACGUG
rnacentral:rRNA from 1 species